rnacentral:rRNA from 1 species
ACUAACAAGGAUUCCCCUAGUAACGGCGAGUGAAGCGGGAAGAGCUCAAAUUUGUAAUCUGGCAUUUUCAGUGUCCGAGUUGUAAUCUCGAGAAGUAUUUUCCGCGCCGGACCGCAUACAAGUCUGUUGGAAUACAGCGUCAUAGUGGUGAGAACCCCGUAACUGAUGCGGAUGCCCGGUGCUUUGUGAUAUACUUUCGAAGAGUCGAGUUGUUUGGGAAUGCAGCUCAAAUUGGGUGGUAAAUUCCAUCUAAAGCUAAAUAUUGGAGCAAGACCGAUAGCGAACAAGUACCGUGAGGGAAAGAUGAAAAGCACUUUGGAAAGAGAGUUAACAGUACGUGAAAUUGUUGGAAGGGAAACGCUUGAAGUCAGACUUGCUAUUCGGAGUUCAGCCGCAAGGUGUAUUCUUCGAUUUGCAGGCCAGCAUCAGUUUUUGGGGGUGGAAAAUCGUGGUUUGAAGGUAGCAGUUUCGGCUGUGUUAUAGCUUUCCACUGGAUUCAUCUUCGGGGACUGAGGAACGCAGUACGCUUUUUGCAAGGCUUUCGAGCUUUUCGUACUUAGGAUGCUGGUGGAAUGGCUUUAAACGACCCGUCUUGAAACACGGACC